AUUGAACGCUGGCGGCAUGCCUUACACAUGCAAGUCGAACGGCAGCGGUCCUUCGGAUGGCGGCGAGUGGCGAACGGGUGAGUAAUACAUCGGAACGUGCCCGAGAGUGGGGGAUAACGCAGCGAAAGCUGUGCUAAUACCGCAUACGAUCGUCAGGGAUGAAAGCAGGGGACCGCAAGGCCUUGCGCUCACGGAGCGGCCGAUGGCAGAUUAGGUAGUUGGUGGGAUAAAAGCUUACCAAGCCGACGAUCUGUAGCUGGUCUGAGAGGACGACCAGCCACACUGGGACUGAGACACGGCCCAGACUCCUACGGGAGGCAGCAGUGGGGAAUUUUGGACAAUGGGCGAAAGCCUGAUCCAGCCAUGCCGCGUGCAGGAUGAAGGCCUUCGGGUUGUAAACUGCUUUUGUACGGAACGAAAAGGUCUUUUCUAAUAAAGAAGGCUGAUGACGGUACCGUAAGAAUAAGCACCGGCUAACUACGUG
rnacentral:rRNA from 1 species